rnacentral:rRNA from 1 species
AUUGCACGCUGGCGGCAGGCCUAACACAUGCAAGUCGAGCGAGCGGCGGACGGGUGAGUAAUGUCUGGGAAACUGCCUGAUGGAGGGGGAUAACUACUGGAAACGGUAGCUACUACCGCAUACCAUCAGAUGUGCCCAGAUGGGAUGAGCUGGUGGGUGGGGGAACGGCUCACCUAGGCGACGAUCGCUAGCUGGUCUGAGAGGAUGACCAGCAAAACGGGAACGGAGACACGGUCCAGACGCCUACGGGAGGCAGCGGUGGGGAAUAUUGACCAAGGGGCGAAAGCCUGAUGCAGCCAUGCCGGGUGUGUGAAGAAGGCCUUCGGGUUGUAAAGCACUUUCAGCGGGGAGGCGUUACCCGCAGAAGAAGCACCGGCUAACUCCGUGCCAGCAGCCGCGGUAAUA